rnacentral:rRNA from 1 species
AACAUCUUUUCUUGUUAGUCUCUGAAGUAUGGCCUGCCCGCUGACGUUUAUUUAGUUGAAGGGCCGCGGUAUUUUGACCGUGCAAAGGUAGCAUAGUCAUUAGUUCUUUAAUUGUGAUCUGGUAUGAAUGGCUUGACGAGACAUGGGCUGUCUUGGAUUAGUGGAAUUUAUUGUUGAAUUUGGACUUUAGGUUAAAAUUCUUAGAUGUUUUUAUGGGACGAGAAGACCCUAUAGAGUUUGACAUUUGGUUGUGUAUUUCUUAUUGUUUGUUUUAAAUUUUUUCGUAUCUUUUGUUUUGUUGGGGUGAUGGGAGGAAUUUAUUUAACUCCUCUUUUAUAUGGUAUAUUGAUUUGUAUUAGUUUUGAUCCAUUUAUUUUGAUUGUAAGAUUAAAUUACCUUAGGGAUAACAGCGUUAUCUUCCUUGAGAGUUCUUAUUGGCGGGGGGGGUUGCGACCUCGAUGUUGGAUUAAGAUUAAUUUUUGGUGUAGGAGCUGAAUUGAUUGGGUCUGUUCGACCUUUAAAAUCUU